rnacentral:ribozyme from 1 species
AAGAAGGGAGAGGGAAGAGAGGGGAAAAGAAAGGAAAUUAGAGUUGCCUUUUUCUUUUGUUUCUCUUUUUUUCAACCCUUUUUUUCUUGUGUUUUCUUGUGUUUUCUUUGUU